AGCUUUGCACAGUGGCAGUAUCAUAGCCAAUGAGGUUUAUCCAAGGCGCGAUUAUUGCUAAUUGAAAACGUUUCCCAAUACCCCGCUGUGACGACUUGCAGAGAACAGUCUGCACUGGCCAUUUUGACAGUCUCUACGGAGA
ensembl:snRNA U4 U4 spliceosomal RNA